UACGUAGGGGGCAAGCGUUGUCCGGAAUCAUUGGGCGUAAAGAGCGUGUAGGCGGCCAGAUAAGUCCGCUGUGAAAUCUCGAGGCUCAACUUCGAGCUGUCGGUGGAAACUGUCUGGCUAGAGUCCGGAAGAGGAGAAUGGAAUUCCUGGUGUAGCGGUGAAAUGCGCAGAUAUCAGGAAGAACACCCGUGGCGAAGGCGGCUCACUGGCCCGGUACUGACGCUGAGGUGCGAAAGCGUGGGAGCAAACAGG
rnacentral:rRNA from 1 species